UGCGUAGACGGUUAUUUAAGUCAGGUGUGAAAGCCCCGGGCUCAACCUGGGAAUUGCAUUUGAGACUGAAUAGCUAGGGUGCGGAAGAGGGAAGCGGAAUUUCCGGUGUAGCGGUGAAAUGCGUAGAUAUCGGAAGGAACACCAGUGGCGAAAGCGGCUUCCUGGUCCAGCACCGACGUUCAGGCACGAAAGCGUGGGGAGCAAACAGGAUUAGAUACCCUGGUAGUCCACGCCAUAAACGAUGAGAACUAGACGUUGAGAGGGUAAGCCUCCCAGUGUCGCAGCUAACGCGAUAAGUUCUCCGCCUGGGGAGUACGGCCGCAAGGUUGAA
rnacentral:rRNA from 1 species